GACGAACGCUGGCGGCGUGCUUAACACAUGCAAGUCUACGAGAACGAGGUAGCAAUAUCUUUAGUAAAGUGGCGCACGGGUGCGUAACACGUAAGCAAUCUACCUUUGGGUCUGGAAUAACUUCGAGAAAUCGAGGCUAAUACCAGAUAAUGCAGCGGCAUCGCAUGGUGAUGUUGUUAAAGUUUGAGUAAUGCCUAAAGAUGAGCUUGCGUCUGAUUAGCUAGUUGGUAGGGUAAUGGCCUACCAAGGCAACGAUCAGUAGCUGGUCUGAGAGGAUGAUCAGCCACACUGGAACUGAGACACGGUCCAGACUCCUACGGGAGGCAG
rnacentral:rRNA from 1 species